CCUGAUGCAGCACGCCGCGUGAGUGAUGAAGGUUUUCGGAUCGUAAAGCUCUGUCUUCAGGGACGAUAAUGACGGUACCUGAGGAGGAAGCCACGGCUAACUACGUGCCAGCAGCCGCGGUAAUAUA
rnacentral:rRNA from 1 species